rnacentral:rRNA from 1 species
AUUGAACGCUGGCGGCAGGCCUAACACAUGCAAGUCGAACGAGUGGCGGACGGGUGAGUAAUGCCUAGGAAUCUGCCUGGUAGUGGGGGAUAACGUCCGGAAACGGGCGCUAAUACCGCAUACUAUCAGAUGAGCCCAGAUGGGAUUAGCUAGUAGGUGGGGUAAAGGCUCACCUAGGCGACGAUCCCUAGCUGGUCUGAGAGGAUGACCAGCCACACUGGAACUGAGACACGGUCCAGACUCAUACGGGAGGCAGCAGUGGGGAAUAUUGCACAAUGGGCGCAAGCCUGAUGCAGCCAGGCCGCGGGUAUGAAGAAGGCCUUCGGGUUGUAAAGUACUUUCAGCGGGGAGGCGGUACCCGCAGAAGAAGCACCGGCUAACUCCGUGCCAGCAGCCGCGGUAAUAC